rfam:Aeromicrobium sp. Root495 contig_1, whole genome shotgun sequence.
UUGGUCCUGGUUCACGGGAGCGCGCCGCGCGCCGACCCAGCACC